rnacentral:rRNA from 1 species
CGAUGAACCAGCACCGCUGAAAGAGAUAGAAGGUUUCCGAUCGUACAAUCUUUGUUUCAGGAAGAAACAAAGUGUAAGUAACUGUGCACAUCUCUGAACGGUUACCAUCAGAAAAGGCCACAGGCUAAUCUACCGUCCCAGCAGCCUCCGGUUAAAUACGUACGUGGGCCAAGCGGUCAUUCCGGAAGUAUUUGGGCGCUUAAAGCGGGCGUAAGGUCGGUUUUCUUUAAGUCUUAUGUGAAAAGCCCCACCGCUCCAUCCGUGGAAGGGUCAUUGGGAAACUGGGAAAACUUGAGUGCAGAAGAGGAAAAGUGGAAUUCCAUGUGUAGCGGUGAAAUGCGCAGAGAUAUGGAGGAACACCAGUGGCGAAGGCGACUUUCUGGUCUGUAACUGACGCUGAUGUGCGAAAGCGUGGGGAUCAAACAGGAUUAGAUACCCUGGUAGUCCACGCCGUAAACGAUGAGUGCUAAGUGUUAGGGGGGUUCCGCCCCUUAGUGCUGCAGCUAACGCAUUAAGCACUCCGCCUGGGGAGUACGACCGCAAGGUUGAAACUCAAAGGAAUUGACGGGGACCCGCACAAGCGGUGGAGCAUGUGGUUUAAUUCGAAGCAACGCGAAGAACCUUACCAAAUCUUGACAUCCUUUGAAAACUCUAGAGAUAGAGCCUUCCCCUUCGGGGGACAAAGUGACAGGUGGUGCAUGGUUGUCGUCAGCUCGUGUCGUGAGAUGUUGGGUUAAGUCCCGCAACGAGCGCAACCCUUAAACUUAGUUGCCAGCAUUUAGUUGGGCACUCUAGGUUGACUGCCGGUGACAAACCGGAGGAAGGUGGGGAUGACGUCAAAUCAUCAUGCCCCUUAUGAUUUGGGCUACACACGUGCUACAAUGGACAAUACAAAGGGCAGCUAAACCGCGAGGUCAUGCAAAUCCCAUAAAGUUGUUCUCAGUUCGGAUUGUAGUCUGCAACUCGACUACAUGAAGCUGGAAUCGCUAGUAAUCGUAGAUCAGCAUGCUACGGUGAAUACGUUCCCGGGUCUUGUACACACCGCCCGUCACACCACGAGAGUUUGUAACACCCGAAGCCGGUGGAGUAACCAUUUAUGGAGCUAGCCGUCGAAGUGACGAGGUAGUCCCGCUCGGU